rnacentral:rRNA from 1 species
UCCGUAGGCGGGCGUCUAAGUCAGUGGUGAAAUCUUACAGCUCAACUGUAAAAUUGCCAUUGAUACUGGAUGUCUUGAAUUAGUGUGAAGUGGUUAGAAUGUGUAGUGUAGCGGUGAAAUGCAUAGAUAUUACACAGAAUACCAAUUGCGAAGGCAGAUCACUAACACUAUAUUGACGCUGAGGGACGAAAGCGUGGGAGCGAACAGGAUUAGAUACCCUGGUAGUCC